rnacentral:rRNA from 1 species
GAUGAACGCUGGCGGCCUGUCUAACACAUGCAAGUCGAACGAAGCAAUUAAGAUGAAGCUUUCGGAUGGAAUCUUGAUUGACUGAGUGGCGGACGGGUGAGUAACGCGUGGAUAACCUGCCUCACACUGGGGGAUAACAGUUAGAAAUGACUGCUAAUACCGCAUAAGGGCACAGUGCCGCAUGGCAGUGUGUGAAAAACUCCGGUGGUGUGAGAUGGAUCCGCGUCUGAUUAGCCAGUUGGCGGGGUAACGGCCCACCAAAGCGACGAUCAGUAGCCGACCUGAGAGGGUGACCGGCCACAUUGGGACUGAGACACGGCCCAAACUCCUACGGGAGGCAGCAGUGGGGAAUAUUGCACAAUGGGCGAAAGCCUGAUGCAGCGACGCCGCGUGAGUGAAGAAGUAUUUCGGUAUGUAAAGCUCUAUCAGCAGGGAAGAAAAUGACGGUACCUGACUAAGAAGCCCCGGCUAACUACGUGCCAGCAGCCGCGGUAAUACGUAGGGGGCAAGCGUUAUCCGGAUUUACUGGGUGUAAAGGGAGCGUAGACGGCGAAGCAAGUCUGAAGUGAAAACCCAGGGCUCAACCCUGGGACUGCUUUGGAAACUGUUUUGCUAGAGUGUCGGAGAGGUAAGUGGAAUUCCUAGUGUAGCGGUGAAAUGCGUAGAUAUUAGGAGGAACACCAGUGGCGAAGGCGGCUUACUGGACGAUAACUGACGUUGAGGCUCGAAAGCGUGGGGAGCAAACAGG